CCAGGUCUUACUUAAGUUUAUCAUUAGGAAGUUUAAAAAUUUAUAAUAACGCAUGCAAGAGGAAACAAUGUAUUUUUUAAGUUUGUUCUCCAAUGAUUACAUUUAAAUAAUACAUUAAGAAUUACAUGGAAUCACAGUUCAUGAUUAAAGUACAUUUGGGGAUGUUCUAUUCAUGGUAAGUAUCGACCUAUCCUUAUGCUUCAAAGCUCCAGUUGAAGCAUCACUAAAUUACCCCUCAAAUUUCAAUAGGAACAAACUUUAGUUAACCCGAAAGACAUCCAAUUAAGCAAGCCUUGAAAACACCCUGCCUUGCUUCUUCCUUAUGAGCUCUUUGUUGUUGAUUAAGACAAUCCAAAUUCACCUCAAAUUAAUGCCAAUUAAAGCAGCAGUUCAUUCGCUUUCUUGAGCAGACCCUGCAGAAUGUUAAAGUUAAAUGUUGCAAUUAGUUUCUGUUGUAGAAAGGUGGAAAUUCAAUACAAAUUCAAAGGGUCGUUUCAAUUACGUAACUUACCCCAAGUCGAUCAAAACACCCUAAGUCGAACUCCCUUCUGGAGCUAGCUCGACAGGCUUUCUUUCCCACUAGAAGUCGUUUUGCCAUCAUGACCCGUUAACAAGGAAAAGGAAUUACUCCCCACGCUUUAAAUAUGGUAACCUCAUCAACCCGGGGGUAAGUUAACAGCAACCCAAACAAAAAAACGAAAUAUUAAACGAGUUAAAAAUGAUUAGAGAAAACUUUGGACAGAUAUUUUACCAAAGACCAUUUUUGAAAAGACAAAUUCGUUAUUGAUCCACAUAAGGGGACCACCGGGAUUAAGAGAAGAUCCAUCGCUACAGACAAAAUGAAUUUACUUUAACAAAGAGAUCCACAAUGAGUUCUCACAAAAUCUGGGGUAAAUCUAACAGAAAGAUUUCAAGGAUCUAAUACCAUCUUACAAACCACACAUAAAAAACGACUCAUAGGUUGGUUAUAAAAGGAGAGAGCCUAGAAGGAAAGGAGAGGACAUUACCGUCACUCUGCAAAAAUCCGAAGAACCUUACCCAGAGCUUCUUUAAGAUUCCUUCUGAGCCCUCACGUUGAAGCUUGCUUUGAAACGGAGCUAAGACCUCUCACCGGGAUACAUACGAGAACAAAGGAGAGAAGCAUUAGAAGGCGAUAGAGAGGAAGAGAAAAGGUCGAAAGCGAGAAAGACUCACCAAAAGUUCUUCGCCGGAGUUACGUCGGACUGGUUCCGAUUAGGUAUUCUCUUUCAAAUUACUUUGAGCAUUUUCGCAAAACAUUGUCAUACAUGUAUCUUCACCAUUCCAUAUCCGUUUGGAUUUCAUUUGAUUUAUGGGGAUUUAGUUUGGCUUCUAGAGGGUUAGGGUUUUCAGAUUUCUUUGCAGAUUCUGGUUACUUUGGUUGAUUUUCUUUGAAAUCUAAGGCCGAAUCUGUAAUCCUUUGCCAAGAAAAGUGGGGUCGGAGGUGUUUCUGGGUUGAGAGAGGUCACCGGAGAAGACGUGGCGGCCGCCGCGCGCCGCCGCUUCACUGGUAGGUUUGCGAUCGGAGAAGACAAGUGAGAUUGCAGAGCAGCUCUUACUCUGAGGUGAAGAGAGAGAAAGGAGUUCAUCAAAUGAACUCGUCUUCUCCAAAACCAGGGUUAAAUACCCAUGCCUGGCCCAAUGCAUGAGUGACAAGUGUCGCUCCGGUGGAAGGCAGCGGCUGUGGUUGACCGUUGGUCAACCAGUUACUUCCGUGUGGACGUCCCACGAUUCAUUACCAUGCUCCCUCGUCAAAUUCGUCCAUCAUUGUUGACCGAUUUAGAUCUUUGGAUCUGACAGACGAUGGCGUGUCGCAUGAGGUCAACAGAGUUGACCGAGCUUAACUAGCUUCCCUUUCAGUUUUGGGCCUCCGAAUUGGACCAGGACUGCUUCUUGCUACUUGAACCCCCUUUGUUGUCUUGCAGUGCGCCAAACAUGGGUUUUUCUCUAUGUUAAGCCCAUUUCUUUUUGUAUUCUCAUUUAUUUUACUUUAUUUUUAUUCAUUUUUCUUUUCCC
rnacentral:lncRNA from 1 species